CAUCUAGGUCACAACAUGACUAAAAAUGGAAUCAAUUGCUAAAAGGGAGGGUUUUGCUUCUUAUACUUACCGUUCAUAUAUGUAUAAAGUAAUGGCAUAUAUGAUAAAUAGGAGGGUUCACUGUGCUGUGGAAGAAAGGACAAUGUGCAAGAGAUACCAGUGUAGAGGGAGAAGAAAAUAAUUUACACCAUGUGAGAAGAGAGUGAUGUCUGGUUGACAAAUACACUCCAAUUGGUACAGAUCCAUUUAAUGUAGGAAUAAGACACCAGCAACGUUAGUGUUUUGUGGAAAGAAAAGGAGAACAUAAAGAUGCAUAACGUUUUGUCACAUCAUCUGCUUCAAGGGAAGAGGUAAUAAGUGUAGGAGGACUUCCACCAUCAGGUUUUGAAACUGGCUACAAACUCUCCUCUGAAAUACAAUAAAAAAUGUCGACAUUUGAUGGCAAUGUGUUCCUAGCAGAACUGGAGGAGGGAGAAGUUUGAAGACUUAAAAGUUCUACCCCUUCAACAGUUAAAAGAUAUAUGUGGCUUUUGGUAUUAGAAUUUCUCCCAAAAGCCAGAAAUCCUGAAAUUUCAUAAGGAGUGGCAAACUGUUUACAGGUAGAAAUUGAGGACAAUGAAACAGAUAGAGUACCAAUAGAGAGAUUAAGAUUGAAGCAGCAGAAAUUAGAAUUUCAAGGAAAAGGGAAAGUAAGCUGGGAAGAGAAUUUCAGAAAAACGGCAGGUUCAGGAAUUUGAACUAAGACAGCUGAGGAGUUGGAACUGUACACAAUGUUCCAUGGAGAUAACACUGGCUCAGAAUUAUGGGCGGAGGCAACUCAGUUUAUUGAUUUAAUUCCUAAGAUUGAAGAAGUGGGGGUAGAAACUUUGUCCCUUUCAAGCAAAUAACAUAGCAGUUAGUGGUCAAUCUAGCAUUGGGUCUUAAUGCUGCAGAGUAAGUUUUUGAGGACCGUGCACAUAGUAUAUUGUCACUUGCCUGAGUAAAGUGCCACUGAUUACAAAGCGGUAAAAAAAAUGCUGUCUUAAGUGUGUACCGGUUAGUGCAGUGACAUACUGUCAAACAUUCCAUACGGAAGGGAAAUUCCUGUCAUAUCUCAAGUAUGAAAGACAAAUCAGCUUGCUUUUGACUGGUGGGUUCGGGAUUAACAUUGCAGCUACUUACAAAAAAUCUCUGAACACUUCUCCUGGAGAGAUUCAAAAAUUCCAUACCCUGCUCACUUAAAUAUGCACCUUGAAGAACAAAGAUUGAGUGGAUUUAAGCAAGGCAAUACAGUUGGUGAUGAUUGAGUUGAUCCACAAACCCAUGUUCCAGAAGAAAUUGUUCCCAAGCUACCCCCAACCAAUUGGAGAGGAUUCAGGUGGGGCGAAUGAGCACCCAUUGGAGAGAAUGAACUGCUGCAACCCCUCCUUAAGAUGCAAACUGUGGUGCUGAGAUGAAAGAUGACAUGAAGAAACCUGUGUUUUAACAGCUGAAAAGUAAAACAUCUGGGCCAACAGCUAGAAGCAUUUUAGAAAAAUCUAGUGUGAUUUAACCAGGACACGUACAACCCAUGUGGAGAAUGGGAGUCUGUCAAAGAACAUAGCAUAUCAUGCCAUUGCUUGGAUUGCAGCUGUGAAUCCCUGUAAAGAUACUCCAGAGUGCACAGAUGAAGUUAAACUGAGAAUUACUAAUUAAUUAUGCAACCUGGCUCUUCAGUGCCCAUUUCAUGCAAUUGCACAGUAAAGGAAGUGGAAGUGCUUGACACUACUCAAACCUUCAGCAUUCACACCAUUGACACCAUAUUUAAAAACCAGCUGCAAAGAUUUCAAACACUGCAAGCCAGGAACUGCCCUUCACACUAUGGUGUUGGAUUAUACUGAUGCAGAAAGGAAAGCACAGAUGCUGUUUUGCAGAAUGAAUGAUGGUGGAGAGAAGGAAUAACCUUUUCCACCUGAGCUCUAUAGGACAAAGCCAGCUUAAACCCAGACAGUAACCUAGGUCAGUGUAGUUUCUGGCAUGAAGUGGGGUACCCAGCAGUUCAGAAAAAAAGUCAAUGGCUGUCUGUGUUCCACGAGGAUAAAUGCCAAUGUUUUCCUUCUGCUGCCUCAGACUCCCAGGAGCACCACUCAACUUAUAUCAUGCUUUUUCUAUUGUUCUCAACCUUGAUAUCAGAGGCUAAAGCAGAGUAUUAUUUUCAGUUUAAAAUAAGCUAUGCCAGCAAGUUGUUUAACUUAUUGUUUGCAAUUUUUCAUUCCAGUUAUUAGCAUUAUUUUUAAGGUCAUGCUAAAAUCAAUAUUCACUUGUCACAAUCUUGUCUCAACCACAUAAAACAUAUAGAAUGAUCAGUACAGACAUUUUCUUGGAGCAAAUUGCAUUUUUUUCUAGUUUGGAGACACAUCCAUGAAUUUACCAAGCAAAAACAAUAGGAAUAACAGAGUUUAAAUUAUCGAAUACCUUUUAAAUAGUGAACAGUAAGUAGCUAUGCAGAGUUAAAAGUAGUAGAUAAAAAGGGUAAGGUUGCGUGCUGGAAAUUAGAAACAAAACAGGAAUGUAUGGCAAAUCAAUCAGUAUCUGAAAGAGAAAAAUAUAUCAACAUUUUAGCUCAGAUCCUUUAAAUCCCAAUAUUUUCUCCCUUUCACCUUGCAGAUUUCAGUUAUCAAAGAGACCAGUGCCUCAUCAUUGUAUUGCUAAAAACUGUGAAGUGGCAAUCUUAUUUGGUAAUCUUUUGUCCAACUCCAUGACCAAUUCAAAGCACCGAUUAGUGUCUGCCUGCUUUACCAAACAGAACUGCAAGAAUUACAUUGUUUACCUAAAAAAGUUAUCUAGAUUCUGUGGCUGCCAUGCAACUAACAACAUCUGCUCAUAUUUAGAAUUCACGCUGCACACUUUAGCUCAACUUAUCUUUGCCUACUGCGUUGCUGAACAUGUUUGAAAACAGCACAGUGACAACAAACAUUAGGACAUGUCAGAUUCGAGUAAGGAAGUGUAAAAUAGAGUAGGUGAAUUCAAUGUCAAGUCACGGAGUGAAAGGGAAAUAAAGACAAGGAAAAGAAGAUUGGAUUAAGAGAGAGAGAAAAGAAUUUUGCAGACAGAAUUUAAAAAUAAUGCAAAGUUUACACUUUGAAACUCUUGAAUAAUUAAUACAUGAAGGAGUGAGGAUCCAUCCUUAAAUAGUUCAUUUUCAGCCUUGGAGAUUGAUUAGUGCUAAUUAAUAAUUAUCGCAAUGUGAAAAGGAUUUUAUGCUAAAAAUGACAAGGUUUAAGCUUCCUUGGCAAGUUUAGCUUACACCUACUGCACAAAUAUACAUCAACUUCAUGCCUUUUUUUUAUUGGGAGGCAGAAAGCAGAAUGUUAAGAGCGGUGCACCAAAUUUAGAGUAUUUACAUUUAUCACAUCAUGAUAUUGCAGGAUGCUCAUUCCAGUUAAACAAUUUAUACACCACAACAGUAUUCUAAACUACAUAAUCCUUAGAUAAUGCCCUCAGUGACUCCAGAAGUUACAACUGAGAUUACACAGCAGGCCAUUUCACCCCAAAAUGAAAAUAGAUGAAUGUGGUGCUGGAUCUGAGACAACUGAAAAAUUAUAUUUCACUUUCAUAGGUUAACACUAGUAUUUAACAUGUUAUCCAGUUAUUUUGGAUCAUUAACAGAGUAGCUGAGAAUCAAGUUUCCAAAUUUCUACCCCAUCUCCACCCCUCACAAUUCUGUAUGCUUAAUAUCAAUGUAUUUGCAUCUUAUUGGCCUUACCAAUUCCCACAUUUUAUUGUUUUUCAUGCCUCUCAUUUGUCUGAUAAUCACUGUGCAGGCUAUCACAAUCUUAUUACCAUUUGUUUUAAUUAACCAAUGAUCUGUU